rnacentral:rRNA from 1 species
AGAGUUUGAUCCUGGCUCAGGAUGAACGCUAGCGGCAGGCUUAACACAUGCAAGUCGAGGGGUAACAGGGGUUGCUUGCAACCCGCUGACGACCGGCGCACGGGUGCGUAACGCGUAUGCAACCUACCUUCUACAGGGGGAUAGUCAAUAGAAAUGUUGAAUAAUACCCCAUACGAUCAUGAAUUGGCAUCGAUUUAUGAGGAAAGUUCCGGCGGUAGAAGAUGGGCAUGCGUCCUAUUAGUUAGUUGGUGAGGUAACGGCUCACCAAGACAUCGAUAGGUAGGGGUCCUGAGAGGGAGAUCCCCCACACUGGUACUGAGACACGGACCAGACUCCUACGGGAGGCAGCAGUGAGGAAUAUUGGACAAUGGAGGCAACUCUGAUCCAGCCAUGCCGCGUGCAGGAAGACGGCCCUAUGGGUUGUAAACUGCUUUUAUACAGGAAGAAACGCCUCCUCGUGGGGGGGUUUGACGGUACUGUACGAAUAAGGAUCGGCUAACUCCGUGCCAGCAGCCGCGGUAAUACGGAGGAUCCAAGCGUUAUCCGGAAUCAUUGGGUUUAAAGGGUCCGCAGGCGGUUCAUUAAGUCAGAGGUGAAAUCCUGCCGCUCAACGGUAGCAUUGCCUUUGAUACUGAUGGACUUGAGUUAUAGUGAAGUAGUUAGAAUGUGUAGUGUAGCGGUGAAAUGCAUAGAUAUUACACAGAAUACCGAUUGCGAAAGCAGAUUACUAACUGUAUACUGACGCUGAGGGACGAAAGCGUGGGUAGCGAACAGGAUUAGAUACCCUGGGUAGUCCACGCCGUAAACGAUGGAUACUAGCUGUUCGGCCAACAUUGGUUGGUUGAGUGGCUAAGCGAAAGUGAUAAGUAUCCCACCUGGGGAGUACGCUCGCAAGAGUGAAACUUAAAGGGAAUUGACGG